rnacentral:lncRNA from 1 species
ACUUCUUCCUUUUUUCAGUAGGUCUCGGUUCCCUUGCGAGUUCUUUCUCACCCCUCCCCCAUCAGCUCGUGGAAGCUUGGAGUGUGGAGCACAGCAAACCAAGGGGCCUCCUUUGGGACCCUGUGACAGUGCAGGGCUGCACCUGAGCCCUGUGCCUCUGGACAACAGCCAAGGGCAAUUGCCCACACUUGUAUGUCAGAUGUCUCCCACCCUUUUGUGUUCCAGGAAAUGACUUACUGCAAAGAACCACUCUUCCCCACGAGACUUCGAGAAGACCCGCUGUCACGGACUGAGUUGUGUCCUCUUAAAAUUCAGAUGUUGGAGUCCAAACCCCCAGUAACUCAGAGUGUGAACGUAUUUGAAGAGGUCUUUAAAGAGGUGAUGAAGGGAGAGAGACCCCAUGAGCUCGUCAAGCUCCUUCUGUGACUGAUCAGAGAUCCCACCGUGAGUCCAGCUCCUGGUCCCAUGCUCUGGAUAUAUCGGUCCCUGGCAGCGUGGUCUUAUUUCUACAGCCUCCUUUAAUUGCUUUAUGUUCACGGGACACUGUCUUCAGGAUAAGAUUAAGUCAGCGGGUGUCAACUGCAUACGAGCUUCCCAAAGACUCAAAACUCAGUUUAAAAAAAAAAUCAACUCCUUAGCCAAAGACGUGGCAACUGCGGGUGAAGUAUCUCUGGGCAGGAAAUCAAUGCAGAAAUGCAACUGGGGAGAGGGGGCUUGGGGGCCAGUUCCAGGGAGAUUGGAACUGCUGUGUUCUCAUCAGCAGAAGUGGCCCCUGCCCACCCCCAUCCUAAUCCCUUCUCAUGUGGGAGAAGGUCUGUGAGCCCUCUCCCUACCAGGCAGGUUCUAUGGCAAUGUGGGCACAUACCCUGGGGCAGGGGCCGAGGGACUUAACUCACUUCAUGAGCGCCAAUGGAGGAGCGAAGGGAAUGCCUGAUGAAAACAACAUUCUACCAGUAUGCACUGUUUUCUAACCUACAGAGUGCCUCUGUGUUCACUGUCCCAUUUGAGAAUUCUAAGUAGAAUUCUGAACAGGCUGGAGCAGAUUGCCCACCCCAAGGGACAGAUGUUGGCUGGUACUGUUGGUAUUCAUGGAAGAUUCCUUCUGACACUCCCUCCUUCUUUGUAAUUGCCAUGAACUGGAGCACUGGGCCAAUAUAAAUCAUCCAAGGGUGAACACGCUGCACAUGGACGGCUCCUCUUUGUUUUUGAAGGGAUUCCAUCUCUAUUUUGCCAUGUGCUCCUUCACCCCACUCCCCACCCCCGUCUUUCAUUUCUUUCUCUGGAAAAGAUACUUCAACUCACAGGACUGCGAUGUUGAAACGGACACCCAAGAGCAUCACAGAUGGGCCAGGCCUGGACCUCUCGGGACAACAUUCCUCACGACUUUUAGAUAGAAGAGAUUAGAGAUUUGGGACUGGUGGCAACUGGUAACGUUUUCAGUGUUUGGUAAACAGCCAGGGUCCGGAGCUCUGGGAACAGCCUGAUUUAGCUCUUUGUUUAAGUUUUGUGUUAGAGGCUCCCAAGAAGCUGAUGCAGGGGAAAGAAAUUAACAACCAUGGCUCAUUCACAGCCAGGCAGCCAAAUGGACAGCUCUAUAAGACUCAAGCCGACAGCGGAGAGAGUGCAACCAAACAGCCUUGGCCCAGCUUUCAGAGGAGAACGUUAUUCACCCCAACUGCUCUGCAUCUGCCUGGAUGUCUGCCAAGAUCUGUGAGCAUUACAGCGUUGGUAUGCUUUGGGUGAGGCCUGUGGCUAUGGCAACAAGUUGGGAGCAACCCGGUCCCUGGGAAUGAGAACAGUGUCUAAAAUCAGGCAGGCGAGGGGCAGGGAGGAGAGGUAAAGGUUGGACUUGCCUGAAGAUGGAGCCGUUUUAUUGUUGUGGGUAAAGCUGCUACCAUUAGGGGCUGUUUACAGAGUGGGUGCAGCUCAAGCUGGGAGCAUGUUAGACUCAGCGACUACGAUCAACCUAUUGACUUGUUCCCAUGAGACAGAGUAAAUUAACUGUUGCAGUACUGGUCAUGUACCACCAACCUCCUGUGAACCAGCCCUCAGUGAAACAUUUAUGUGAAAGGCCAUGGUGUUCCCAUAAGAGGGUGCAUGUUCUCUCCCUUGACUAACUCUUCAGUAUGCCUCAUUCUCACGCGCUGGUGUGCAGGAAGGAGUCCAACAUGCCCCAUUGACAGUCAUGCCCUGUAUGUGGAAAGUCUUCAGGUAGAGCACUGGGCUCAGGUUUGAAGAUGUGAGUUCUAAUCCUAGCAAGGCCAUUACCUCCCAGUGACCUCAUGUCUCGAUUUCCUCAACCACAAAACAAAGGCAUUGGUGAGCUGACCUCUAAGGCCUCUCCAGUUCUCACCUUCUGUGUCUCUACAGACUGGAGACUAGAAGAUUAUGGGCACUUUUAUUGAGUCUUCAUUUUGUUUCCAUUUCUUUGUAGUCAUCAGCUGGAGUUGAGGACAAGUUUUAACAAUAGAUAGGUUUCUUUUUGUCUCUUUUUAAAAAAUUUUAUUUAAAAUAAAUGCCAAGUGUAGUGGCUCAUACCUGUAAUCCCAGCACUUUGGGGAGGCCAAGGUGGGAGGAUUGCUUUUGAGUUUGAGACCAGCCUGGGCAACGUGGUGAGACCCUGUUUGUACAAAAAAUUUUAAAUUAGCCAGGCAUGGUGGCGUGUGCCUAUAGUCCUAGCUACUCUGGAGGUAGAGGCAGGAGGAUCCCUUGAACCUGGGAGGUUGAGGCCACAGUGAGCUGUGAUUGUGCUAUUGAACUCUAGCCUGGGCAACAGAGCAAGACCCUGUCUCUUAAAAAAGACUAUUUUUUAAGAACACUUUUAGGUUCACAGCGAAAUUUGGAGGAAACUUGGCAUAUGUCAUAUGCCCCCUGCUCCCAUGCAUGCACAGCCUCUACCAUUAGCAAUGUCCCCACUCAAAUGGUACCUUUGUUGUAAUCAACAACCCUGUACUGACACAUCAUCAUCACCCAAACUCCAUAGUUCACAUUAGGUUUCACUCUUGGUGUGGUGUACAUUCCAUGGGCUUGAACAACUGUAUAAUGACAUUAUCCACCACUGCAGGAUCAUACAGAGUAGUCUCACUGCCCUAAAACUACUCUGUGCUCCACCUGUUUGUCCCUUCUUUCACUCUAAACUCCUGGCAACAACUGACCUUUUUACUGCCUCGAUAGCUUUGCCUUCUUCGGAAUGUCAUGUAGUUGAAAUCAUACAUCAUGAAGCCUUUUCAGAUUGGCUUCAUAUAGGUUUCCUUCCUUCCUUCCUCCCACCACCUUCCUUUCUUUCUGUAUUCCUAACUCUUGGAUGUAUUUUCCCCAGCAUCAUGACUUGAUGGGACUUUUGCUAAGAUAGGCAAUCAUAGAAAGUCAUAAAUCUCUUGUCAGCCUUAUUGGCUCACCUCCGAGAUGGUUCCAACACUCUUUAAGGCCCACUUUUCCAAUCCACAGAUUCCCCAGCAGAAGUCCAAGCUGCUGAGCCUCACAUCAUCUUUUGCACUAGUAAUCUUUACCACUACUUCACUGUAGCAUUUGAAAAUUUUCAUAUGAAGCCAUAGUUCUGUGUCUUUUUUUUUUUUUUUUUUUUUUUGGAGACGGAGUCUUAACCUGUUGCCCAGGCUGGAGUGCAGUGGCACAGUCUUAGCUCACUGCAAGCUCCGCCUCACGGGUUCAAGUGAUUCUUGCCUCAGCCUCCCAAGUAGCUGGGAUUACAGGCGCGCCACCAUGCCCAGCUAAAUUUGUUGGCAUUUUUAGUAGAGAUGGGGUUUCACCAUGUUGGCCAGGCUGGUCUCAAACUCCUUACCUCAGGUGAUCUGCCUGCCUCAGCCUCCCAAAGUGCUGGGAUUAAAGGUGUGAGCCACCGCACCUGGCCUGAAGCCAUAGUUCUUAACCUCAGUUGUGCAAUAGAAUUAUCUGGGGAAUUUAAAAAUUAGAAAAAACCCAUGCCCUGAAGAUUGUGAUCUAACUGGUCUUGCGUAGCGCCUGGGCAUUGGUAUUUUUUAAAUGUUUCCCAACUGAUACUAAUGUGGCCAUUCUGCAAGCCACAGUUGAAAGGCUUAUUCAAGCAUCCUGUUGCUGAAUGCAUGUCGUCCUUACCACAUGACUCUGGAGGUUUUCUUGUAUUCUGAUGUGGCUGCCCUGUUGAGGCCUGCCCCUUAGAGUGGAGAUUAUCCCCUGCAGUAGGCUGCCUGGAAUAUGAUCCCCAGUGAUCCCUGCUUCCUGCAGUCUUCUUUCCACCAAUGACCCCUCGCGCUGCUUCCAGAAGCCAAGAAAGUGGGCUUUGUCCUUGGGGAUUUAGGAGGCGGAGCGGCGCCCCCUUGAGGCCACAUGGUGGAGGCAGCGAUGAGACCUGGAGUCUAAAAUUCAGACUGAAUCACAGGAAGAAGCUAUUUACACAAGUCAAACAUGGUCCAAUCUUGGCAAUUUCAUAAGGUUCCAAUCCUUAAGGGAUCAAAACCUGGCCAACUGCUUCCACCGAGAGGUGUGCCUUUCAAUGCCAGGCUUGGAGUGUCCCUCUUUAUUUAAAAAGGAGAGGAUUCCACAGCAGAGCUUCUCAAACUCUUCCACCCAAAUCCCCUCACCACAGAGGGACAGGAGUCCUGGGCAUGUAGCCUAAAGCAGCCAGGAGAAAAAAACCUUGACCUUAAUUUUUUUAAUGAUUUCACAUGAAUCAGUGGAAUGUGUUUAUGAUAAAAUCAUCUCCUCCUGAAAUACAUGUGUAAAACUGCUGCCCCAGUUAAACGCACUUAGUCUAACCAAGCCCUAGGAUUGGCCUCUCCAGCAUGAGAAGCAUUUCCAGCACUCCAGCUCCCCAGCUCCCACUCUGGGAUCCCACCUCAGACCCUCCCACUUCCUUGCACUCUGGCCUCUCGCUCUUGACCCUGCUCCCGCCACGCUCUUUCCUCAGAGUCCAUCAGUCCUGUCUUGUCUUCACCUUGGUCUCUGCCAAGUGUGGGUCCAAGUCAUAUAUUUGGGCUGUGAUCACAGGAACCCCAAGCCCCAGACCUCCCAAAGCACCCUAUGGAGAGACCUUACCCUCCUGGACAGACCCUCUCCCCCCAGCUAGACCUCAUCCUCUGGGUAGACCCAUCUCCCCAACCAGAACUCACCCUCCUGAGUAAACCCCAUCCCCCUAGCUAGACUUCAUCCUCCUGGACAGAUCCCAUCCCCCCAGCUAGACCUCACCCUCUUGGGUAGAUGCAUCUCCCCAACCAGAACUCUCCUGGGUAGACCCCUUCUACCCAGCUAGACCUGAUCCUCUGGACAGACCCCAUCAUCCCAGCUAGACUUCUCCCUCCUGGACUGUCCCCAUCCCCCCUCCAGCCAGACCUCACCCCUCUGGGUAGACCCCAUCCCCCCAACUAGACCUCACCCUCCUGGAUGGACUCUACCCUCCUGGAGAUACCUUCCCCUCCUGGGUACAUCCCACGUGGCUACACACUCCUUCCCCUGUCAGCUUUCUCCCCCAGGGUUCUGGGCAGCAGAGUCUGUGAUAAAGGAUACUAAGUGAUUCCCCAAUACUUCCCGUUUCCAGCCUCCAGUGGGCUCUCCCUGGGGCUAACGGUUCUUUUUGCUAUUUCUCCAGGCUUUGCCUGAUGACAAGUAUACUCUGAGAGUGUCCUAAUGAUACAGAUUUUGGACCCUAUCCCAGUUCUACUGAAUCCAAGUCUCUGGGGGAGGAGUUGGGGCUCUGCAUCUGGACACCUUCCUGCAGGGUCCCUCCUGGGAGGCAAGCCCGGGGAGCACCGCUGAGGCUCGCCUCAGUGCCCAUCCUAGACCUUCAGCAGCUAGCAGAGGAUGUCCCCACCAUCCCUCAGCCCACACUCCCACUGUCGCCCCAGCCAGGCUUGGCACUGCCUCCUUUCUCAGAAGAUUAAGACCAUCUGCUGUUUCCCAAGUUUCCCACCCUCCACCCUAAAAAUUUCUCCGUUUCCCAGUCUUUCCUCGUCUCUCAGAAAAUAAACAUCUUCCCAGGCUGCCUCCCCAGUGGGUCUGCACUCCUUGCUGUCUUCCCAGCACCUGCCCUUCCAGCCCGCCCUCUGUGUGUCCAGUGUUUCCCUCACCAAAGGACUCGCUUUGUUUUUCAAAUUGGAGGUUUUGUCUUCUCCCUAAAAACCAAAACAUCUCCCUGAGAAGUAACUCCCUCAAGCUACUGAUACGGAAGGGGGGCGGGGAAGUGCUGGGAAGGGAAGGGUGUGGUCCCUGGCUAGGGCUCCACCCCCGGGCCUGUGCCCACAGACCUAGGUGAGGACAGGCAUUUCUGUUUUCGUGCUUAAAUGUUGGAUUUCCCAAGACUACCCUGGCCUACCACACCCUCAUUCUGUGCCUGUAAAAAAACCUGAGAGCUUAGCAGGCACGCACACAAGCCUCUGGACGUCAAGAGGAACACACCGGUGUAAGAGCAGACUGAUAGUGGCCCACGGCAGGCUGGCAGGCCAUCGACAGGCAGAACCACUCAGUGCAGCUGGAGGACAGCCUGGCCACGGAGCGGUCCGACUUCAGAGGGGAAAACCACCUCCCCACUCCGUCUCCCUUCUGGCUCCCCCAUCUGAGAGCUACUUCCACUCAAUAAAACCUUGCACUCAUUCUCCAAGCCCAUGUGUGAUCUGAUUCUUUUGGUGCACGGAGGCAAGAAACCUCAGGAUACAGAAAGCCUCUGUCCUUGGAAUAAGGCAGGAGGUCUAACAGCUGACUAGGGAUGGCUCAACUGAAACAGCAUCCUGUAACACAGGCCCAUUGGGACCUCAGGAGCUGUAAACAUUCACCCUUAGACAUUGCUGUGGGGUUGGAGCCCCACCACCUGCCCAUCUGCAUGCUCCCCCUACAGGUUUGAGCAGCGGGGCACAGAAGAAGCCAGCCACACCUCCAUCGCAAGCCCUGCCACGGGGAUAAGGGAACUUUUCCCGUUUUGCCACCAGCUCAAGCCCCGCCUUCCUGUCACUCCACACUCUUCAUCUCUGUGUAUGGGUGUGGUCUUCCUCAGUUCCUUCUCUGGCCUCACACAGUGCCCUGAAUAAUGCUUUGCAAGGCCUUUGCCAGGAGCCUAGGUGAAAGGCAGAAGAGGUGCCCCUGCAGCAUCGCAAGGUAGAGAUCGUGGUUACAAGAUGGGGACUAGACUCCCAGUUUGCCCUUGGACUGGGCAGCCCCUUGGAUUUUGUUUUCCCUGACGUUGCUGUUCUGAUCCAAGGCCUUGUGGCCUCGCUACAGACACCCAAGGCCAGGCCUAUCUUUGCAUGAAUAACUAAAGAAAGCCUAGAGGAUGAGUAAAAUGACCACACUGUAUGGCUUUGGAGGACUGGAAGUUACUGAGGACUAUGAGUGGGUUUUUUGCAUAGACUGCAGUAAAGGUCCUCAGAAAAGACCCUCAAGAGCUAUGGGGGGGUCUGGUCAAAUGCCACUUCUAGACUGGACUCCAAAACUGGUGCUGAUUAUUUUCACUCCUACCCCACCCACCAGCCUGAUAGGCGAUUCCUGAAGUAGCAGUGGGGCGCUCAGUGGUGCUCACCAGGCCCAGAGCUCAGUCCUUCCCCCAUUCUGCCUGAUGGGGCUUGUGUAACCAAGGAUGACAGAUGGGACAAUCCCUGUUGGUAAAGACUGAGUUGAUUCUGACCAGGACCAGAGAUAAAACCCAGCACCUUUAUCUUUCCCCUUUGUACCUUCUUCAGAAAGACCUUCUUCUGCAGCAGUUCUGGAACUGUGAUCUGUGAGGUAUCUCACAGAAUCUCUGACCAAUGGAGAGCUAAUCAAAGACAAGUUUAAUAGGUGAAG